GAUGAAGAACGUAGUGAAAUGCGAUAAGUAAUGUGAAUUGCAGAAUUCAGUGAAUCAUCGAAUCUUUGAACGCACAUUGCGCCCGCCAGUAUUCUGGCGGGCAUGCCUGUUCGAGCGUCAUUUCAACCCUCAAGCCCCCGGGCUUGGUGUUGGGGAUCGGCGUGCCCUCGCGGCGCGCCGUCCCCUAAAUCUAGUGGCGGUCUCACUGUAGCUUCCUCUGCGUAGUAGCAACACUCGCACUGGAUCGCAGCGCGGCCACGCCGUUAAACCCCCCACUUCUGAAAGUUUGACCUCGGAUCAGGUAGGAAUACCCGCUGAACUUAAGCAUAUCAAUAAGCGGAGGA
rnacentral:misc_RNA from 1 species